CCGGACGCACGGGUGGCGUAACGACGUAUGCAACCUAACCAUCAACAGGGGAGGUAACACUGAGAAAUUAGGUACUAAUACCCACUAAUAUCUCAUGCGGCGAUACGCAUGGGGUUGAAAACUCCGGUGGUUGAUGAUGGGCAUGCGUUGUAUUAGCUGGUUGGUGAGGUAACGGCUCACCAAGGCGACGAUACAUAGGGGGACUGAGAGGUUAACCCCCCACAUUGGUACUGAGACACGGACCAAACUCCUACGGAAGGCAGCAG
rnacentral:rRNA from 1 species